UGGGGAAUAUUGGACAAUGGGCGAAAGCCUGAUCCAGCCAUGCCGCGUGUGUGAAGAAGGCCUUCGGGUCGUAAAGCACUUUAAGUUGGGAGGAAGGGCUCAUAGCGAAUACCUGUGAGUUUUGACGUUACCAACAGAAUAAGCACCGGCUAACUUCGUGCCAGCAGCCGCGGUAAUACGAAGGGUGCAAGCGUUAAUCGGAAUUACUGGGCGUAAAGCGCGCGUAGGUGGCUUGAUAAGUUGGAUGUGAAAUCCCCGGGCUCAACCUGGGAACUGCAUCCAAAACUGUCUGGCUAGAGUGCGGUAGAGGGUAGUGGAAUUUCCAGUGUAGCGGUGAAAUGCGUAGAUAUUGGAAGGAACACCAGUGGCGAAGGCGACUACCUGGACUGACACUGACACUGAGGUGCGAAAGCGUGGGGAGCAAACAGG
rnacentral:rRNA from 3 species